rnacentral:rRNA from 1 species
AGCAGUCGCCGCGGUAAUACAGAGGGUGCGAGCGUUAAUCGGAUUUACUGGGCGUAAAGCGUGCGUAGGCGGCUUCUUAAGUCGGAUGUGAAAUCCCUGAGCUUAACUUAGGAAUUGCAUUCGAUACUGGGAAGCUAGAGUAUGGGAGAGGAUGGUAGAAUUCCAGGUGUAGCGGUGAAAUGCGUAGAGAUCUGGAGGAAUACCGAUGGCGAAGGCAGCCAUCUGGCCUAAUACUGACGCUGAGGUACGAAAGCAUGGGGAGCAAACAGGAUUAGAUACCCCCGUAGUCCCUGUCUCUUAUCC